UACGUAGGGGGCGAGCGUUGUCCGGAUUAUUGGGCGUAAAGAGCGUGUAGGCGGCUAGGUAGGUCUGCUGUGAAAACUCGAGGCUCAACCUCGAGACGUCGGCGGAAACCAUCUGGCUAGAGUCCGGAAGAGGAGAGUGGAAUUCCUGGUGUAGCGGUGAAAUGCGUAGAGAUCAGGAAGAACACCGGUGGCGAAAGCGCUCUGCUAGGCCGCAACUGACACUGAGGGACGAAAGCUAGGGGAGCGAAUGGG
rnacentral:rRNA from 1 species